GAUGAACGCUGGCGGUACGCCUAAUACAUGCAAGUCGAGCGACAACACAGUAAGCUUGCUCCCCUACCGUUAGCGGGGGGCGGGCGGGUAAGGAGUGGAUCGCCAUCUUCUAUGUCUGGGAUGAUAACGGGAGACAGCAGACACUACUAGCUCAUAUAUUCUACCGCUUAGAUCAGUAGUGCUUGACGGCUUUCGCGUCUCUUAUAGACGGUUCCGGGCCGCAUUAGCUAGUUGGUAAGGUAACGGCUAACCAAGGCUACGAUGCGUAGCUGACCUGAGAGGGGGAUCGGCCACACUGGAACUGAGACACGGUCCAGACUCCUACGGGAGGCAGCAGUAGGGAAUCUUCCGCAAUGGGCGAAAGCUUGACGGAGCAACGCCGCGUGAGUGAUGAAGGUCUUCGGAUCGUAAAACUCUGUUAUUAGGGAAGAACAAAUGUGUAAGUAACUAUGCACGUCUUGACGGUACCUAAUCAGAAAGCCACGGCUAACUACGUG
rnacentral:rRNA from 1 species